CCCCAGUGCGGCGUGCCUAUACAUGCAAGUCGAGCGGACAGAAGGGAGCUUGCUCCCGGAUGUUAGCGGCGGACGGGUGAGUAACACGUGGGUAACCUGCCUGUAAGACUGGGAUAACUCCGGGAAACCGGAGCUAAUACCGGAUAGUUCCUUGAACCGCAUGGUUCAAGGAUGAAAGACGGUUUCGGCUGUCACUUACAGAUGGACCCGCGGCGCAUUAGCUAGUUGGUGAGGUAACGGCUCACCAAGGCGACGAUGCGUAGCCGACCUGAGAGGGUGAUCGGCCACACUGGGACUGAGACACGGCCCAGACUCCUACGGGAGGCAGCAGUAGGGAAUCUUCCGCAAUGGACGAAAGUCUGACGGAGCAACGCCGCGUGAGUGAUGAAGGUUUUCGGAUCGUAAAGCUCUGUUGUUAGGGAAGAACAAGUGCAAGAGUAACUGCUUGCACCUUGACGGUACCUAACCAGAAAGCCACGGCUAACUACGUGCCAGCAGCCGCGGUAAUACGUAGGUGGCAAGCGUUGUCCGGAAUUAUUGGGCGUAAAGGGCUCGCAGGCGGUUUCUUAAGUCUGAUGUGAAAGCCCCCGGCUCAACCGGGGAGGGUCAUUGGAAACUGGGAAACUUGAGUGCAGAAGAGGAGAGUGGAAUUCCACGUGUAGCGGUGAAAUGCGUAGAGAUGUGGAGGAACACCAGUGGCGAAGGCGACUCUCUGGUCUGUAACUGACGCUGAGGAGCGAAAGCGUGGGGAGCGAACAGGAUUAGAUACCCUGGUAGUCCACGCCGUAAACGAUGAGUGCUAAGUGUUAGGGGUUUCCGCCCCUUAGUGCUGCAGCUAACGCAUUAAGCACUCCGCCUGGGGAGUACGGUCGCAAGACUGAGACUCAAAGGAAUUGACGGGGGCCCGCACAAGCGUGGAGCAUGUGGUUUAAUUCGAAGCAACGCGAGACUUACCAGUCUGACAUGCUCUGACACCCUAGAGAUAGGCUUUCCCUUCGGGACAGAUGACAGUGAUGCAUGCUGUCGUCAGCUCUGUCUUGAGAUGUGGGUAAGUCCCGCAACAAGCGCACCUGAUCUUUAGGUUGUCAGCAAU
rnacentral:rRNA from 1 species